GACGAACGCUGGCGGCGUGCUUAACACAUGCAAGUCGAACGGAAAUGCUCUGCUUUUGUGUGGUUCUCGUGUGGCGAACGGGUGUGUAACACGUGAGUAACCUGCCCUUGACUUCGGGAUACCUUCAGGAAACUGGUGCUAAUACCGGAUAGGAGCUCCUGCUGCAUAGUGAUGGUUGGAGAGUGUCGGCGGUUGGGGAUGGACUCGCGGGUUAUCAGCUUGUUGGUGGGGUAGCGGCUUACCAAGGCUUUGACGGGUAGCCGGCCUGAGGGGGUGAACGGCCACAAUGGGACUGAGAGAGGGACCAGAAUCGUACGGGAGGCAGCAGUGGGGAAUAUUGCACAAUGGGCGGAAGCCUGAGGCAGCAACGCCGGGUGCGGGAUGACGGCCUGCGGGUUGUAAACCGCUUUCGCCUGUGACGAAGCGUGAGUGACGGUAAUGGGUAAAGAAGCACCGGCUAACUACGUG
rnacentral:rRNA from 1 species